rnacentral:rRNA from 1 species
GACGAACGCUGGCGGCGUGCUUAACACAUGCAAGUCGAACGGAAAGGCCCUGCUUUUGUGGGGUGCUCGAGUGGCGAACGGGUGAGUAACACGUGAGUAACCUGCCCUUGACUUUGGGAUAACUUCAGGAAACUGGGGCUAAUACCGGAUAGGAGCUCCUGCUGCAUGGUGGGGGUUGGAAAGUUUCGGCGGUUGGGGAUGGACUCGCGGCUUAUCAGCUUGUUGGUGGGGUAGUGGCUUACCAAGGCUUUGACGGGUAGCCGGCCUGAGAGGGUGACCGGCCACAUUGGGACUGAGAUACGGCCCAGACUCCUACGGGAGGCAGCAGUGGGGAAUAUUGCACAAUGGGCGGAAGCCUGAUGCAGCCACGCCGCGUGCGGGAUGACGGCAUUCGGGUUGUAAACCGCUUUCGCCUGUGACGAAGCGUGAGUGACGGUAAUGGGUAAAGAAGCACCGGCUAACUCCGUG